rnacentral:rRNA from 1 species
CCCAGGUCAGGCGGGGCUACCCGCUGAAUUUAAGCAUAUCAAUAAGCGGAGGA